rnacentral:rRNA from 1 species
UACGUAGGGGGCAAGCGUUAUUCGGAAUUAUUGGGCGUAAAGGGCGCGUAGGCGGCCAUGCGUGUCUUCCGUGAAAUCCCUCGGCUUAACUGAGGACGUGCGGAAGAAACUGCAAGGCUUGAGUCCGGGAGAGGGGGGUGGAAUUCCCAGUGUAGCGGUGAAAUGCGCAGAUAUCAGGAAGAACACCCGUGGCGAAAGCGGCUCUCUGGAACGGUACUGACGCUGAGACGCGAAAGCGUGGGGAGCGAACAGG